rnacentral:rRNA from 1 species
ACGGAGCUGGAGCUCUGGGUCACCUCCCACCCGUGUCUAUCGUACCUUGUUGCUUCGGCGGGCCCGCCGUUUCGACGGCCGCCGGGGAGGCCUUGCGCCCCCGGGCCCGCGCCCGCCGAAGACCCCAACAUGAACGCUGUUCUGAAAGUAUGCAGUCUGAGUUGAUUAUCGUAAUCAGUUAAAACUUUCAACAACGGAUCUCUUGGUUCCGGCAUCGAUGAAGAACGCAGCGAAAUGCGAUAAGUAAUGUGAAUUGCAGAAUUCAGUGAAUCAUCGAGUCUUUGAACGCACAUUGCGCCCCCUGGUAUUCCGGGGGGCAUGCCUGUCCGAGCGUCAUUGCUGCCCUCAAGCACGGCUUGUGUGUUGGGCCCCCGUCCCCCUCUCCCGGGGGACGGGCCCGAAAGGCAGCGGCGGCACCGCGUCCGGUCCUCGAGCGUAUGGGGCUUUGUCACCUGCUCUGUAGGCCCGGCCGGCGCCAGCCGACACCCAACUUUAUUUUUCUAAGGUUGACCUCGGAUCAGGUAGGGAUACCCGCUGAACUUAAG